UACGGAGGGGACUAGCGUUGUUCGGAAUUACUGGGCGUAAAGCGCACGUAGGCGGCUUUGUAAGUUAGAGGUGAAAGCCCGGGGCUCAACCCCGGAACUGCCUUUAAGACUGCAUCGCUUGAAUCCAGGAGAGGUGAGUGGAAUUCCGAGUGUAGAGGUGAAAUUCGUAGAUAUUCGGAAGAACACCAGUGGCGAAGGCGGCUCACUGGCCUGGUAUUGACGCUGAGGUGCGAAAGCGUGGGGAGCAAACAGG
rnacentral:rRNA from 1 species